CCUACGGGGGGCUGCAGUGAGGAAUAUUGGUCAAUGGGAGGAAUCCUGAACCAGCCAUGCCGCGUGCAGGACGACGGCUCUACGAGUUGUAAACUGCUUUUGUACCGGGGUAAAAUGCUCUACGAGUAGGGUUUUGAAAGUACGGUACGAAUAAGGAUCGGCUAACUCCGUGCCAGCAGCCGCGGUAAUACGUAGGGGGCAAGCGUUAUCCGGAUUUACUGGGUGUAAAGGGAGCGUAGACGGCCAGACAAGUCAGAAGUGAAAGCCCAGGGCUCAACCCUGGGACUGCUUUUGAAACUGCCGGGCUGGAGUGCAGGAGAGGUAAGCGGAAUUCCUAGUGUAGCGGUGAAAUGCGUAGAUAUUAGGAGGAACACCAGUGGCGAAGGCGGCUUACUGGACUGUAACUGACGUUGAGGCUCGAAAGCGUGGGGAGCAAACAGGAUUAGAUACCCCUGUAGUC
rnacentral:rRNA from 1 species